rnacentral:rRNA from 1 species
AGUGAACGCUGGCGGUAGGCCUAACACAUGCAAGUCGAACGGCAGCACAGUAAGAGCUUGCUCUUACGGGUGGCGAGUGGCGGACGGGUGAGGAAUACAUCGGAAUCUACUUUUUCGUGGGGGAUAACGUAGGGAAACUUACGCUAAUACCGCAUACGACCUACGGGUGAAAGCAGGGGAUCUUCGGACCUUGCGCGAUUGAAUGAGCCGAUAUCGGAUUAGCUAGUUGGCGGGGUAAAGGCCCACCAAGGCGACGAUCCGUAGCUGGUCUGAGAGGAUGAUCAGCCACACUGGAACUGAGACACGGUCCAGACUCCUACGGGAGGCAGCAGUGGGGAAUAUUGGACAAAGGGCGCAAGCCUGAUCCAGCCAUACCGCGUGGGUGAAGAAGGCCUUCGGGUUGUAAAGCCCUUUUGUUGGGAAAGAAAAGCAGCAGGUUAAUACCCCGCUGUUCUGACGGUACCCAAAGAAUAAGCACCGGCUAACUUCGUG